UCAGAGCUCAGACCAGCCUGCGGAGAGCUUCCAGGACGCGGGGGCCCUCCUUAAAAGGAGACCACUGGCAUGGGAGCUCUAUGGGAUGCCGAACUAUUUUCAGCUAGCCUGAGCAGCAUCCCAGACCAGGGGUCACCUGGGCGAGCUGCUGCGCUGUUCCUUCCGAUCACACAGGCUAGGCGAGGGGCCAGGGCAGGAAGUCCCAGCGCUGAGUCAUGGACCCUCCAGGACCUGAGAGGAACAGGAGCAGCUCUCCAUUGCCUUCCCCCUUCCUCCGGGACCGCAGGGCCUCUAGCUGGACGUGAGGCUGCAUACUAACAGAGGCUGCCCUGGGCAGCAGUCACCUGACCAUGAAGGCUGCGCAGAGCCAGGUGCCAGCUGCAGACGACACCGCUAAACAGCAGCAGCUGACACGCCAUCAGUGGAGAACAUGCCCUGAGCACCCACCACAUGCCCAGCCCUGGGUUCUGACCCUGGAGAAAUGGAUUCCGAACAGACUUCUUUCAAGUAAGGACUCCUUCAUUAGGAAAUAACCUCUCCUGAGAAUCAAAGAUUGACCAAGGAUUUUAAAAAAAGGAUGAAAUGUAAACAUUUUAACCUGUGCAGUUUUGUUUCAUGUUUUUGUCCCUGUAAUCCUUACCAUCCUUUCUUUCCUCAGACUCAGCACUGGUCUCUACUGCCCUGAGAAAGAAAGCUAUCUUUAAAAUACAAAGUGAAACAGAAGUUAAAUCUUGGCUUCUGAAAUUUUCUAGGCCUCAGUUUUCCUGUAAAUAAUAGAUAUGGAAAAAUUCUUAGGCAGUAUUUCUCCUACUGUAAAAACCAAUCAGACCUAGCCCUGCCACGCACAGGCAUUUACCCAAGAGGAAUGCAACUUCCCAUCUCUGCUGCCAACACCACCUGAUGUGUGGGAGCUGGCGGGGCUGUGUGAUUCCACAGAGAGAGCUCCUCCUCUGUGUGAUGGGCAUUGGCAGACUGCCUUAUGGGAAGUUGAAUGUUUGGUAAGCUGAUCAUUUGGUAAGUUGACUUUUUCCCUUUAAAAAUCAACUUUAGUGAGGUAAAAUUUUAAAAAAUAAAAUGCACCCAUAUGAUGGAUGAAAAUUGACAAAUACAUACAAUGUCAACACCACCCAAAUCAAGACCUAGAUCACUUCUGUCACCCCCCAGGAGUUGCCUUGCAGCCCUUUGAGGUCAAUCUGUCCCCUUUACCUGGGGCCUCAGGGAACCAUUGAUCUGUUUUCUGUCCCUGUACAUUAUAUGUGUCUUUCUGGAAUUUCACAUACAUGGAUUCAUAGUGUUCAGUCUUUUGUGCAUGACUUCUUUUGCUUAACAUAAGGGUUUGAGACAUACACGUGUUGUACUGAGUGUGGUCUUUUUCAUUGCUGUAUAGUACUGCAUUGCAAAAAGAUUACAGUUUGUUUAUUCAGUCAUCAGCUGAGGGACAAAGCUGAAUGCAAUUUUUAGCAAUUAUAAAUAAAGCUGCUAUAAACAUUU